AGGAUGAACGCUGGCGGUCUGCUUAACACAUGCAAGUCGAACGGAGUAGCAAUACUUAGUGGCGGACGGGUGAGUAACGCGUGAGAAUCUACCUUCAGGACGGAGACAACAGUUGGAAACGACUGCUAACCCCCGAUGUACUGAAAAGGCAAAUAUUUAUAGCCUGAAGAAGAGCUCGCGUCCGAUUAGCUAGUUGGAGAGGUAAAAGCUCACCAAGGCGACGAUCGGUAGCUGGUCUGAGAGGACGAUCAGCCACACUGGGACUGAGACACGGCCCAGACUCCUACGGGAGGCAGCAGUGGGGAAUUUCCGCAAUGGGCGAAAGCCUGACGGAGCAAGACCGCGUGGGGGAAGAAGGCUCUUGGGUUGUAAACCCCCUUUUCUCUGGGAAGAACGCAAUGACGGUACCAGAGGAAUCAGCAUCGGCUAACUCCGUGCCAGCAGCCGC
rnacentral:rRNA from 1 species